rnacentral:misc_RNA from 13 species
GACGGUCACACCGCCAGUGGGCGAAAAAAAAAACAUUCGUGAAUUCACCGUCGUCGAACGAACGCUGUAUUUUUUUCCAGUGCAAUAUUCGGUCGAUGUAUAACGAGUGAUUGAAUUAAAGUAGUCCCUUUACAAAAAGUAAAAGUAAAUAAAUAAAAAUAAAGUCAUACAAAACAGUAUAGCGGUAGAGAGAGGGCGAGGGUAAAAAAUUGCUGCUGCUGAGGUGUGUGCAAUUGCCUGUGCGUGUGUGUGUGUUUGUGUGACGUUUACAGCAGCAAAAAGUUCGGUAGUGUCGUCAAAAUUGUCGCGUAAAGUUAAUGCAAACGAUUCUCGAUCGGAUACGAGUUGAUCGCGACAUAUUGAUUUGGUCGGAUGUGGAAAAGUCUAGCUGAUUAAAAACGAAUUGCGGAUAAAAAAACGAUAAACAACGGCAAUUUGUUGCUGCCGCAACAUCAACAACAGCAGCGCAGCAGCGCACUAACACAACCACCACCACCCCCUGUUCCAGCCUAACGGUUCAUUCACAGUGGCCGAAGAAGCAGCAGCAAAGUUUGCGAAACUAGGAGCACCAUGUGGCGGUUUUAGAGAAGCAGCAAAGAACUAUUAACCACGAUUCGGGAUCAGUGUCAGGAGCACUACAGAUUGCAGCAAUCGAAUUCGAGGAAAAGGGUUGUCCAGGGACGCAAGAUAGUGAAAGAGGGGAGUAUAGACUGAGAUCAAAGAUCGGAGAACGUCGUUCUGUGUCAGAAGAUGACCCUGACCACAACGACCACUGCCUCAUCAGCCGAGAGCCAAGCGAAAAUGGACGUGAAGGGCGGCGCACUUCCCGGCGAAGAGAACCUGCCCACCUCCGAGAUGGAUCUGCUGGCCAAGCUGGAGGCGGCCAACAAGCUCAUCGAGAGCGAUGCCAAGUCCCUCAACUCACUGCACUCCACGCACAGUCGCAAGAACUCGGACACGAGUCAGAUCAGCCUCUCAUCGAGUGGAAAUUCGGUGGCCGAAGAGGACAUCUGGACGACGUGGGCCACCAUCCUCAAUGACUGGGAGGGAGCACUGAAACGAAAGAAUCCCUGCGUCAGUGAGCUGGUGCGCCGUGGAAUUCCACACCACUUCCGAGCGAUCGUGUGGCAGCAGCUGAGUGGAGCGUCCGAGGGCGACAAGAAGCAGUAUGCGGAGUACAUCAAGGCGACCAGUGCCUGCGAGAAGGUCAUACGGCGGGACAUUGCCCGCACCUAUCCCGAGGUGGAGUUCUUCAAGGAGAAGGAUGGACCCGGACAGGAGGCCCUGUUCAAUGUGAUCAAAGCGUAUUCCCUGCACGAUCGCGAGGUGGGCUACUGCCAGGGCUCGGGAUUCAUUGUGGGCCUGCUGCUGAUGCAAAUGCCCGAGGAGGAGGCAUUCGCUGUGCUCGUGCAGAUCAUGCAGCAGCAUCGGAUGCGGCACAUGUUCAAGCCCUCCAUGUCGGAGUUGGGCUUGUGCAUGUACCAGCUGGAGAAUCUGGUGCAAGAGCAAAUACCCGACAUGCACAUUCACUUCCAGCAGCAGGGCUUCCAGACGACCAUGUACGCCUCCAGUUGGUUCCUCACGCUAUACACGACCACUCUGAAUGUCAAUCUAAGUUGUCGCAUCAUGGACGUCUUCCUCAGCGAGGGCAUGGAGUUCAUCUUCAAGGUGGCCUUGGCCCUGCUGCUCACCGGCAAGGAAACGUUGCUCUGCCUGGACAUGGAGGCCAUGCUUAAGUUCUUCCAAAAGGAGCUGCCCGGUCGCGUGGAGGCGGAUGUCGAGGGCUUCUUCAGUCUAGCGUACUCCAUAAAGCUGAAUACCAAGCGUAUGAAGAAGAUGGAGAAGGAGUACCAGGACCUCAAGAAGAAGGAGCAGGAGGAGAUGGCCGAGCUGCGGCGACUGAGACGCGAGAACUGCCUGCUGAAGCAGCGCAACGAGCUGCUGGAGGCCGAGAGCGCCGAACUGGCCGAUCGCCUGGUGCGUGGUCAGGUCUCCCGGGCUGAGGAGGAGGAAACUAGCUAUGCCAUUCAGACGGAGCUGAUGCAGCUGCGCCGGUCAUACUUGGAGGUCUCGCAUCAGCUGGAAAACGCCAACGAGGAGGUGCGCGGCCUGAGUCUUCGGCUGCAGGAGAAUAACGUAUCCAUCGACAGCAAUAACUCCCGGCAGUCGUCCAUUGACGAGCUCUGCAUGAAGGAGGAGGCGCUGAAGCAGCGCGACGAGAUGGUCUCCUGUCUGCUGGAGGAACUGGUGAAGGUGCGUCAGGGACUGGCCGAAAGCGAGGAUCAGAUUAGGAACCUCAAGGCCAAGGUGGAGGAGCUGGAGGAGGACAAGAAGACGCUGCGGGAAACGACGCCAGACAAUUCGGUGGCUCAUCUGCAGGAUGAACUGAUUGCUAGUAAACUUCGCGAGGCCGAGGCCUCGCUUUCGCUAAAGGAUCUCAAGCAGAGGGUGCAGGAGCUGAGCAGCCAGUGGCAGCGUCAGUUGGCCGAGAAUCAGCGCAGCGAAAGCGAACGCACCACCAACGCUGUGGACUCGACGCCCAAGAAGCUGCUGACCAACUUCUUUGACAGCUCCAAGAGCAGCGAGCACACGCAGAAGCUCGAGGAGGAGCUGAUGACCACGCGCAUACGCGAGAUGGAGACGCUCACCGAGCUCAAGGAGCUGCGGCUCAAGGUCAUGGAGCUGGAGACGCAGGUCCAGGUGUCCACCAAUCAGCUGAGGCGACAGGACGAGGAGCACAAGAAGCUGAAGGAGGAGCUCGAAAUGGCCGUGACCCGGGAGAAGGACAUGUCCAACAAGGCGCGUGAACAGCAACACAGAUACUCGGAUCUGGAAUCUCGCAUGAAGGAUGAGCUGAUGAAUGUGAAAAUCAAAUUCACCGAGCAAAGCCAAACGGUGGCUGAACUGAAACAGGAAAUUUCCCGACUUGAGACCAAGAACUCGGAAAUGCUCGCCGAGGGCGAACUGCGCGCGAAUCUGGAUGAUUCGGACAAGGUGCGCGACCUGCAGGACAGGCUGGCCGAUAUGAAGGCGGAGUAUCCCACGCCAAUAACCAGCCCCGACACUGAGCCGUGGAAAUGGAUAAGCUAAACUAAUUUUAACACCGCCCCCGAACACGAAAACACACGAAAUUGAUUGAUAACGAAACAAAACGAUCAAAAUUAUGAAAAUUACAAAAAAAAAAAAAGAGAAGAUUUAAAAAGCAAAUUACCGAAACCCAGUUUGAAAGUCAAGAAGCCACAAUUAUCCUCUAAUCUAUAUUGCCACACAUAAACACACACACACUCAACUCCCGAAAACGUUAAAGAAAUUCAAAAGUCAAGCAGCAGGCCAAGCUACCAACUCAACCCAGCUGACGGCAUUGAAAAGUCGUGGCAAAUUUCCGGGCGCCAAACUGCGCAGCUCCUCGAUCCAAUCGAUCGAAUCGACCGAGAUCGAC